AAAGCAGUGAAGACCUCAGGUUGCAGGCCAGUUAUUCACCACACAGGAAGUUAUUUCAGGUUACAGCAGUGGGCUGCUUAACUCUGACAGUCAGAGUCGAGGCAACCCAAAUAUUUGAGGAGGAAGAAGAAGUGCAGACGCUUUAUUCGUGUAACCAAAUACUAACUAAAGAAGCAGAAACUGCUGGACGCCCAUUGGUGCAGGUGUUCUUACUGUACACGUCUUUAGAAAAGCUGCAGAGAGAGGGAACAGCCAUGAGUCUGCUGUGAUAAUGACAGGGAUCUUCCAAGGUCAUCAUCUGCACAGAGCCUUUCAUCACCCUCCACUGUUAAUUCCGAGAUCCUACCUAGACGUCCACCCAGAGAAACCCCACAUACCUCAGGACCUGCUGUCAAUAGAGACCUGAAGCCAGGCAGACGAAAGACCAGAUUCGAUAAGAAGUUGCCACCUGUGCUGCCAGACCAGGUAAUAUGUCAAUAUGCAACACGGUGUAUCGUAUACCUUCUUUUGUGACUAUAAGUUGCGU
ensembl:lncRNA